GGAGGAAAAGAAACUAACAAGGAUUCCCCUAGUAACGGCGAGUGAAGAGGGAAGAGCUCAAAUUUUAAAUCUGCCUUGUUCCAAGGUCGAGUUGUAAUUUGAAGAAGCGUUUUCUUGGGCUCGCGGCCGGUAGAAGUUCUUUGGAACAGGACAUCAUAGAGGGUGACAAUCCCGUCCGUGACCGGUCGUGCGUUCAUCUACGAUACGCUUUCAAAGAGUCGAGUUGUUUGGGAUUGCAGCUCCAAACGGGUGGUAAACAUCACCUAAGGCUAAAUAUUGGCGAGAGACCGAUAGCGAACAAGUACCGUGAGGGAAAGAUGAAAAGAACUUUGAAAAGAGAGUUAAACAGUACGUGAAAUUGUUGAAAGGGAAACGAUUGAAGUCAGUCGUGCUGGCGCGAAAUCAACCCUCUCGUCUUGAGAUCACAUGGCGCGACGAGCCUCAAAACCGUCACGAAGCGUGAACUCUUGACGAAAAGGUGCACUUUCGUGUCCGCUGGUUAACAUCAAUUUCGAACGUCAUAAAAAGGCUGGAGGGAUGUGGCUCCUUCGGGAGUGUUAUAACCUUUAGCGGAAUGUGGCGUUCGGGAUUGAGGAUUGCAACGAAUACCUUCAGGGCUGUUCCACCUGGCUUCUCAUUGGUAUCCUGGUGACGACAGCUUGCUGACGUCGUUAGGAUCAGCUUCUGAACAGGCUAGAGUGUGAGCAAAUUCGUUAAGGAUGUUAACGUAAUGGCUUUAAACGACCCGUCUUG
rnacentral:rRNA from 2 species